UACGUAGGGACCAAGCGUUGUUCGGAUUUACUGGGCGUAAAGGGCGCGUAGGCGGCAAUUCAAGUCAUCUGUGAAAUCUCCGGGCUUAACCCGGAACGGUCAGAUGAUACUGCUUUGCUAGAGUGCGGAAGGGGCAAUCGGAAUUCUUGGUGUAGCGGUGAAAUGCGUAGAUAUCAAGAAGAACACCAGUGGCGAAGGCGGCUCACUGGCCCGAUACUGACGCUGAUGCACGAAAGCGUGGGGAGCAAACAGG
rnacentral:rRNA from 1 species